rnacentral:lncRNA from 1 species
AUUAUUAAUAAAUUUCAGUUAGUUUUUAUUUAAAAUUGUAGACUUUCAAAUAGCACUACUUCGAUUUUUGUUUGUAUUUGAAAUACUGUAUGUACAAAUAUUUAGAUAAGUUUUUAAAGCUUCAGGACUUUUCCAAAAGUCUGCCCCUUAUGCUAUAUAAAAUACAUACACGAAGUAGUGAUAAGAUUGCUUUCAAAUUAUGAGUUACUAUUCAUUUAAUCACUUGACCUUUAGCUCAUUUUCCGUAUUUACUCAUUCUAUAACUUUUUGGACUUUAUUUUUUGCGUUUUACUUUAUUAGACACAAUCGUUACACAAUUGAUUUUAUGCCUCGCUUUCGAGAUUAUCUCUUUUAUUUGGCAUUUCUCUAAGCACUUUCAUUACUUUUCACUAAACCAUCAAUAUUUUGUAGGUUAUAUUUCACAUAAAAAGAUUUUGACAUAUUAUACACAUUUAAACUUGCACAUCUCUUUGAUCCAUUUACUUAUUUACACCACACCGACCAUUCAGUCACUCACUUCAUGACUUAUUUGAUUUAUUGCAUCAAUCUUCAUACAUAUGUAUAUUCACACACACAAACAGUGUUCCAAAAAACCAGGCUCAGCUGGCUGUUCUUCAUAUGAAAAGGGAUUGCCGACAUGCGGAGUUCAGUGUGGGGGGCGUGCCGUUAGAUGACGUAGUAGUGAAAUUCAGAAGAAAAAAACACUUUAAUUCGCCAAUGAGGGGUACCAGCCAAACGCAACCACCUCCCGUUGAUUCAUAUGCACUUUAAAUUUAUCUAUUUUUACCUUUUUACAAUAAAUUCUGCAACUUUUACGAAA